rnacentral:rRNA from 1 species
GUGGGGAAUAUUGCGCAAUGGGGGAAACCCUGACGCAGCGACGCCGUGUGAGGGAAGAAGGCUUUCGGGUCGUAAACCUCUGUCAGAAAGGAAGAACCUCCCAUAUCCGAAUAGGGUGUGGGACUGACGGUACUUUCAAAGGAAGCACCGGCUAACUCCGUGCCAGCAGCCGCGGUAAUACGGAGGGUGCUAGCGUUAAUCGGAAUCACUGGGCGUAAAGCGCGCGUAGGCCGCUUCUUAAGUCGGACGUGAAAGCCCUCGGCUCAACCGGGGAACUGCGUUCGAUACUGGGAGGCUUGAGUCCUGGAGAGGGUGGCGGAAUUCCGGGUGUAGGAGUGAAAUCCGUAGAUAUCCGGAGGAACACCGGUGGCGAAGGCGGCCACCUGGACAGGUACUGACGCUGAGGCGCGAAAGCGUGGGGAGCAAACAGGAUUAGAUACCCUUGUAGUCC